rnacentral:rRNA from 1 species
AUUGAACGCUAGCGGGAUGCUUCACACAUGCAAGUCGAACGAGUGGCGGACGGGUGAGUAAUAUAUCGGAACGUGCCCAGUAGAGGGGGAGAACUACUCGACAGAGUGGCUAAUACCGCAUACCAAUGGAGCGGCCGAUAUCGGAUUAGCUAGGUGGUGGGGUAAAGGCUAACCAAGGCAACGAUCCGUAGCGGGUUUGAGAGGACGACCAGCCACACUGUGACUGAGACACGGCCCAGACUCCUACGGGAGGCAGCAGUGGGGAAUUUUGGACAAUGGGGGAAACCCUGAUCCAGCCAUCCCGCGUGUAUGAGAAGGCCUUCGGGUUGUAAAGUACUUUUGGCAGAGAAGCGGUAUCUGCAGAAUAAGCACCGGCUAACUACGUGCCAGCCGCCGCGGUAAUAC